rnacentral:rRNA from 1 species
CCUACGGGUGGCAGCAGUGAGGAAUAUUGGUCAAUGGGCGUAAGCCUGAACCAGCCAAGUCGCGUGAGGGAUGAAUGUCCUAUGGGUUGUAAACCUCUUUUAUAAGGGAAUAAAGUGAGGCACGUGUCCCGUUUUGUAUGUACUUUAUGAAUAAGGAUCGGCUAACUCCGUGCCAGCAGCCGCGGUAAUACGGAGGAUCCGAGCGUUAUCCGGAUUUAUUGGGUUUAAAGGGUGCGUAGAUGGGCUGUUAAGUCAGCUGUGAAAGUUUGCGGCUCAACCAUAAAAUUGCCGUUGAUACUGGCAGGCUUGAGUAUGUUUGAGGCAGGCGGAAUGCGUGGUGUAGCGGUGAAAUGCUUAGAUAGCACGCAGAACCCCGAUUGCGAAGGCAGCCUGCCAAGCCAUGACUGACACUGAUGCACGAAAGUGUGGGGAUCAAACAGGAUUAGAUACCCGAGUAGUC